UGUGGUUGUUGUUGCAGCGACUGUGGUUGUGGUGGCUGCUGCAGCAGUUGCAGGUGUUGUUGUCAUGGGAGGAGCUGUGGUGGUCAUUAUGGACGUAGCUGAGGUUGUAGUUGGAGCAGCUGUGGUUGUUGAAUGAGCAACUGUGCUAGUUGUGAUGCCUGCUGUGGUGACCGUGGCGGCACCUGUUGUUGUGGUGGCAGCACCUGUGGUUGUUGUGGGAGAAACUAUGGUUGUUGUGACUCCAUUUGUUGUUGUAGUUGGAGCAGCUGUGGUUGUUGUGGGAGAAACUGUGGAUGUUGUGACUCUAUUUGUCGUAAUUGGAGUAUCUGUGGUUGUCAGGGCAGCAGCUGUGGUUGUAGUAGGAUCAGCAGUGGUUGUGCUAGCGGCUGCUGUGAUUGUGGUGGUUGCUGCUGUUGUUGUAGUCGAAGCAUCUGUGGUUGUUGUGGCAUCAGCUCCGGUUGUUGUGGGAGAAACUGUGGAUGUGCUCACUAUAUUUGUGGUUGUAAUUGGAGCAUCUGUGGUUGUCAUGACAGCAGCUGUGGUUGUAGAUGGAACACUAGAGGUUGUGCUGGCGGCUGCUGUGAUUGUGGUGGUUGCUGCUGUUGUUGUAGUCGAAGCAGCUGUGGUUGUUGUGACCGGAAUUGUGGUAGUCAUCAUGCCAUCUGUAGUGGUCGUGGGGGCAACCGUGGUUGUGGUUGCAGCGGUAGCUGUGGUUGUAGUUGGAGCACGUGUGGUUGUUGUUGCAGCGACUGUGGUUGUGGUGGCUGCUGCAGCAGUUGCAGGUGUUGUUGUCAUGGCAGGAGCUGUGGUGGUCAUCAUGGACAUUGUUGAGGUUGUAGAUGGAGCAGCUGUGGUUGUUGAAUGAGCAACUGGGGUAGUUGUGAUGCCUGCUGUGGUGACCGUGGCGGCACCUGUGGUUGUGGUGGCAGCACCUGUGGUUGUUGUGGGAGAAACGAUGGUUGUUGUUACUCCAUUUGUCAAUGAAAUUGGAGCAUCUGUGGUUGUUGUGGCAGCAGCUGUGGUUGUUGUAGGAUCAGCAGUGGUUGUGCUAGCGGCUGCUGUGAUCAUGGUGGUUGCUGCUGCUGUUGUUGUAGUCGAAGCAGCUGUGGUUGUUGUGACCGGAAUUGUGGUAGUCAUCAUGCCAUCUGUAGUGGUCGUGGGGGCAGCUGUGGUUGUGGUUGCAGCAGUAGCUGUGGUUGUAGUUGGAGCACCUGUGGUUGUUCUUGCAGCAACUGUGGUUGUGGUGGCUGCUGCAGCAGUUGCAGGUGUCGUUGUCAUGGCAGGAGCUGUGGUGGUCAUCAUGGACAUUGUUGAGGUUGUAGUUGGAGCAGCUGUGGUUUGUGAAUGAGCAACUGUGUUAGUUGUGAUGCCUGCUGUGGUGACUGUGGCGGCAGGUGUCGUUGUGGUGGAAGCACCUGUGGUUGUUGUGGGAGACACUAUUGUUGUUAUGACUCCAUUUGUUGUUGUAGUUGGAGCAUGUGUGGUUGUUGUGGCAUCAGCUCCGGUUGUUGUGGGAGAAACUGUGGAUGUGCUGGCUAUAUUUGUGGUUGUAAUUGGAGCAUCUGUGGUUGUCAUGAGGGCAGCUGUGGUUGUAGAUGGAGCAGCAACGGUUGUGGUGGCGGCUGCUGUGAUUGUGGUGGUUGCUGCUGUUGUUGUAGUCGAAGCAGCUGUGGUUGUUGUGACCGGAAUUGUGGUAGUCAUCAUGCCAUCUGUAGUGGUCGUUUGGGCAGCUGUGGUUGUGGUUGCAGCAGUAGCUGUGGUUGUAGUUGGAGCACCUGUGGUUGUUGUUGCAGCGACUGUGGUUGUGGUGGCUGCUGCAGCAGUUGCAGGUGUCGUUGUCAUGGCAGGAGCUGUGGUGGUCAUCAUGGACAUUGUUGAGGUUGUAGUUGGAGCAGCUGUGGUUGUUGAAUGAGCAACUGUGUUAGUUGUGAUGCCUGCUGUGGUGACCGUGGCUGCACCUGUUGUUGUGGUGGCAGCACCUGUGGUUGUUGUGGGAGACACUAUGGUUGUUGUGACUCCAUUUGUUGUUGUAGUUGGAGCAUGUGUGGUUGUUGUGGCAUCAGCUCCGGUUGUUGUGGGAGAAACUGUGGAUGUGCUGGCUAUAUUUGUGGUUGUAAUUGGAGCAUCUGUGGUUGUCAUGGCAGCAGCUGUGGUUGUAGAUGGAGCAGCAGAGGUUGUGCUGGCGGCUGCUGUGAUUGUGGUGGUUGCUGCUGUUGUUGUAGUCGAAGCAGCUGUGGUUGUUGUGACCGGAAUUGUGGUAGUCAUCAUGCCAUCUGUAGUGGUCGUGGGGGCAGCUGUGGUUGUGGUUGCAGCAGUAGCUGUGGUUGUAGUUGGAGCACCUGUGGUUGUUGUUGCAGCGACUGUGGUUGUGGUGGCUGCUGCAGCAGUUGCAAGUGUUGUUGUCAUGGCAGGAGCUGUGGUGGUCAUCAUGGACGUAGCUGAGGUUGUAGUUGGAGCAGCUGUGGUUGUUGAAUGAGCAACUGUGCUAGUUGUGAUGCCUGCUGUGGUGACCGUGGCGGCACCUGUGGUUGUGGUGGCAGCAUCUGUGGUUGUUGUGGGAGAAACUAUGGUUGUUGUGACUCCAUUUGUUGUUGUAGUUGGAGCAUCUGUGGUUGUUGUGGCAGCAGCUGUGGUUGUUGUGGGAGAAACUGUGGUUGUUGUGACUCCAUUUGUGGUUGUAGUUGGAGCAUCUGUGGUUGUCAUGACAGCAGCUGUGGUUGUAGUAGGAGCAGUAGUGGUUAUGGUGGCGGCUGCUGUGAUUGUGGUGGUUGCUGCUGUCGUAUUCGAAGCAGCUGUGGUUGUUGCGACCGGAAUUGUGGUAGUCGUCAUGCCAUCUGCAGUGGUCGUGGGGGCAGCUGUG
rnacentral:lncRNA from 1 species